rnacentral:rRNA from 1 species
AUUGAACGCUGGCGGCAGGCUUAACACAUGCAAGUCGAACGAGUGGCGGACGGGUGAGUAAUGCUUGGGAAUCUAGCUUAUGGCGGGGGAUAACUACGGGAAACUGUAGCUAAUACCGCGUACCAUAGGAUGAGCCCAAGUGGGAUUAGCUAGGAGGGGGGGUAAAGGCUCACCUAGGCGACGAUCUCUAGCUGGUCUGAGAGGAGGAUUAGCCACACUGGGACUGAGACACGGCCCAGACUCCUACGGGAGGCAGCAGUGGGGAAUAUUGCACAAUGGGCGCAAGCCUGAUGCAGCCAUGCCGCGUGUAUGAAGAAGGCCUUAGGGUUGUAAAGUACUUUCAGCGGGGAGGCGUUACCCGCAGAAGAAGCACCGGCUAACUCCGUGCCAGCAGCCGCGGUAAUAC